rnacentral:misc_RNA from 1 species
GAGUUCAUGCCCGAAAGGGUAGACCUCCCACUCUUGUGUAUUAUUACUUUGUUGCUUUGGCGAGCUGCCUUCGGGCCUUGUAUGUUCGCCAGAGAAUAUCAAAACUCUUUUUAUUAGUGCCGUCUGAGUACUAUAUAAUAGUUAAAACUUUCAACAACGGAUCUCUUGGUUCU